GACGAACGCUGGCGGCGUGCUUAACACAUGCAAGUCGAACGGAAAGGCCCUGCUUUUGUGGGGUGCUCGAGUGGCGAACGGGUGAGUAACACGUGAGUAACCUGCCCUUGACUUUGGGAUAACUUCAGGAAACUGGGGCUAAUACCGGAUAGGAGCUCCUGCUGCAUGGUGGGGGUUGGAAAGUUUCGGCGGUUGGGGAUGGACUCGCGGCUUAUCAGCUUGUUGGUGGGGUAGUGGCUUACCAAGGCUUUGACGGGUAGCCGGCCUGAGAGGGUGACCGGCCACGUUGGGACUGAGAUACGGCCCAGACUCCUACGGGAGGCAGCAGUGGGGAAUAUUGCACAAUGGGCGGAAGCCUGAUGCAGCAACGCCGCGUGCGGGAUGACGUCCUUCGGGUUGUAAACCGCUUUCGCCUGUGACGAAGCGUGAGUGACGGUAAUGGGUAAAGAAGCACCGGCUAACUACGUG
rnacentral:rRNA from 1 species